rnacentral:misc_RNA from 1 species
GAAAUGCGAUAAGUAAUGUGAAUUGCAGAAUUCAGUGAAUCAUCGAAUCUUUGAACGCACAUUGCGCCCCCUGGUAUUCCGGGGGGCAUGCCUGUUCGAGCGUCAUUUCACCACUCAAGCCUCGCUUGGUAUUGGGCAACGCGGUCCGCCGCGUGCCUCAAAUCGACCGGCUGGGUCUUCUGUCCCCUAAGCGUUGUGGAAACUAUUCGCUAAAGGGUGUUCGGGAGGCUAUGCCGUAAAACAACCCCAUUUCUAAGGUUGACCUCGGAUCAGGUAGGGAUACCCGCUGAACUUAAGC